AGAGUUUGAUCCUGGCUCAGAAUCAACGCUGGCGGCGUGCCUAACACAUGCAAGUCGCACGAGAAAGGGGCUUCGGCCCUGAGUACAGUGGCGCACGGGUGAGUAACACGUGAAUAAUCUACCUCCGAGUGGGGAAUAACCUAGAGAAAUCUGGGCUAAUACCGCAUAACACUUACGAGUCAAAGCAGCAAUGCGCUUGGAGAGGAGUUCGCGGCAGAUUAGUUAGUUGGCGGGGUAAUGGCCCACCAAGACGAUGAUCUGUAUCCGGCCUGAGAGGGCGCACGGACACACUGGAACUGAAACACGGUCCAGACUCCUACGGGAGGCAGCAGUGGGGAAUUUUGCGCAAUGGGGGAAACCCUGACGCAGCAACGCCGCGUGGAGGAUGAAAUCCCUUGGGAUG
rnacentral:rRNA from 1 species